AACCUAUGGUGAGGGCACCAUCUCAGAAAGUCCUUAUAUAUUUCUCAUGCAUCGUAAAGUGUUUCUAAAUCCAUCUGCACAAAAGAAGAGAUAUCAUUACGUAAUUU
rfam:Gossypium hirsutum cultivar TM-1 chromosome 26, whole genome shotgun sequence